CAGCAGCCGCGGGAAUACAGAGGGUGCAAGCGUUAAUCGGAUUUACUGGGCGUAAGGGGCGCGUAGGUGGUUAUGUAAGUGAGAUGUGAAAUCCCCGGGCUCAACCUGGGAACUGCAUCUUAUACUGCGUAGCUGGAGUGCAGUAGAGGGUAGUGGAAUUUCCGGUGUAGCGGUGAAAUGCGUAGAUAUCGGAAAGAACACCAGUGGCGAAGGCGGCUACCUGGACUGACACUGACACUGAGGCGCGAAAGCGUGGGGAGCAAACAGGAUUAGAUACCCCGGUAGUCCCUGUCUCUUAUAC
rnacentral:rRNA from 1 species